AGUCCUGUAGCUCAGUGGUGAGGGCACUCGCCUGGCAAGUGUGAGACCUGGGUUCGAUUCCCAGCAGGGCGA